rnacentral:rRNA from 1 species
AACGAACGCUGGCGGCAGGCUUAACACAUGCAAGUCGAGCGCCCCGCAAGGGGAGCGGCAGACGGGUGAGUAACGCGUGGGAAUCUACCCUUUUCUACGGAAUAACGCAGGGAAACUUGUGCUAAUACCGUAUAAGCCCUUCGGGGGAAAGAUUUAUCGGGAAAGGAUGAGCCCGCGUUGGAUUAGCUAGUUGGCGGGGUAAAGGCCUACCAAGGCGACGAUCCAUAGCUGGUCUGAGAGGAUGAUCAGCCACAUUGGGACUGAGACACGGCCCAAACUCCUACGGGAGGCAGCAGUGGGGAAUAUUGGACAAUGGGCGCAAGCCUGAUCCAGCCAUGCCGCGUGAGUGAUGAAGGCCCUAGGGUUGUAAAGCUCUUUCACCGGUGAAGAUAAUGACGGUAACCGGAGAAGAAGCCCCGGCUAACUUCGUGCCAGCCGCCGCCGUAA